rnacentral:rRNA from 1 species
UACAGAGGGUGCGAGCGUUUGUCCGGAAUCACUGGGCGUAAAGGGCGCGUAGGCGGUCUGCUAAGCGUGUGGUGAAAGCUCGGGGCUCAACCCCGCGUCGGCCAUGCGAACUGGUGGACUGGAGCUUGUCAGAGGCAGGCGGAAUUCCGGGUGUAGCGGUGGAAUGCGUAGAGAUCCGGAAGAACACCGGUGGCGAAGGCGGCCUGCUGGGACAAUGCUGACGCUGAGGCGCGACAGCGUGGGGGAGCAAACAGG